rnacentral:rRNA from 1 species
UACGUAGGGUGCAAGCGUUGUCCGGAAUUAUUGGGCGUAAAGAGCUCGUAGGCGGCUUGUCGCGUCGUUCGUGAAAACCUGCGGCUCAACUGCAGGCUUGCGGUCGAUACGGGCAGGCUGGAGUUCGGUAGGGGAGACUGGAAUUCCUGGUGUAGCGGUGAAAUGCGCAGAUAUCAGGAGGAACACCGGUGGCGAAGGCGGGUCUCUGGGCCGAUACUGACGCUGAGGAGCGAAAGCGUGGGGAGCGAACAGG